rnacentral:rRNA from 1 species
AUUGAACGCUGGCGGAAUGCUUUACACAUGCAAGUCGAACGGCAGCACGGAGAGCUUGCUCUCUGGUGGCGAGUGGCGAACGGGUGAGUAAUAUAUCGGAACGUGUCCAAUAAUGGGGGAUAACGAGUCGAAAGAUUCGCUAAUACCGCAUACGCCCUACGGGGAAAGCAGGGGAUCGUAAGACCUUGCGUUAAUGGAGCGGCCGAUAUCUGAUUAGCUUGUUGGUGAGGUAAAGGCGUCACCAAGGCGACGAUCAGUAGCUGGUUUGAGAGAACGACCAGCCACACUGGAACUGAGACACGGUCCAGACUCCUACGGGAGGCAGCAGUGGGGAAUUUUGGACAAUGGGGGCAACCCUGAUCCAGCCAUUCCGCGUGAGUGAAGAAGGCCUUC